AGCUGAUUUCCAAUGCGUCUGAUGCGUUGGAUAAGAUCAGGUUCCUUGCUCUCACGGAUAAGGAGGUCUUGGGUGAAGGUGAUAACACCAAGCUUGAGAUCCAGAUUAAGCUGGACAAGGAGAACAAGGUUAUCUCGAUUCGGGAUCGCGGUCUUGGGAUGACGAAGGAAGACUUGAUCAAGAAUCUUGGAACCAUUGCCAAGUCUGGGACAUCAGCUUUUGUUGAGAAGCUGCAGACUGGGGGUGAUCUGAACCUCAUUGGUCAGUUUGGUGUUGGGUUCUAUUCUGUGUACUUGGUUGCUGAUUACGUUGAAGUCAUUAGCAAGCAUAAUGAUGACAAACAGUAUGUGUGGGAAUCUAAGGCUGAUGGUGCCUUUGCUAUCUCUGAGGAUACAUGGAACGAACCAUUGGGACGUGGGACAGAGAUCAGAUUGCAUCUAAGAGAUGAAGCCAAGGAGUACUUGGAAGAAGACAAAUUGAA
rnacentral:misc_RNA from 1 species